rnacentral:rRNA from 1 species
AGUAACACGUCGAUAAUCUGCCCUUAGGUCUGGGAUAAUCUCGGGAAACUGAGUGUAACACCGGAUAGGGUAAGGCUUCUGGAAAGAGCUUUACUUUAAAAGCAACGCCUAAGGAGGAGUUGGCGGCGGAUUAGGUAGUUGGUGAGGUAACGGCUCACCAAGCCAAAGAUCCGUAGGGGCCUUGAGAGAGGGAGCCCCGAGAAGGGCACUGAGAAACAGGCCCUAGCCCUAAGGGGUGCAGCAGGCGCGGAACCUUUACAAUGCACGAAAGUGUGAUAAGGGAACUCUAAGUGCUUGCACAAUGUGCAGGCUUUUGCCAAAUGUAAAUAGUUUGGCGAAUAAGUGGUGGGUAAGACGGGUGCCAGCAGCCGCGGUAACACCCGCGCCACAAGUGGCAAUCGAUUUUAUUGGGUCUAAAGCGUCCGUAGCUGGCUUAGAAAAUCUCUUGUGAAAAUGUUGAGCUUAACUCAACAAAGGGCAGGAGACACUCCUAGGCUCGGAACCGGUAGGGGUCAGAAGUAUGUUAGGGGGUAACGGUAAAAUGUUAUAAUCCCUAAUAGACUACCUGUGGCGAAGGCGUCUGACUAGGACGGAUUCGACAGUGAGGGACGAAAGCCAGGGGAGCGAUCCGGAUUAGAUACACGAGUAGUCCUGGCCGUAAACGCUGCGAGCAAGGUGUUGCAUAUUCUUCGUGAAUGUGCAGUAUCGAAACGAAGGUGAUAAGCUCGCCACCUGGGAAGUAUGGUCGCAAGACUGAAACUUAAAGGAAUUGGCGGGGGAGCACCACAAGGGGUGCGGCGUGCGGUUUAAUUCAAUUCAACGCGGGGAAUCUCACCAGAGGCGACGGCAGGAUGAAGGUCAGGCUGAAUGUCUUACCCAACGAGCCGAGAGGUAGUGCAUGGCCGUCGUCAGCUCGUGCCGUAAGGUGUCCAGUUAAGUCUGGCAACGAGCGAGACCUGUAUCUACAAUUGCUAACGACUCUUAUCGAGGUUCGAGUACAUUGUAGGGACUGCCUUGGAAACAAGGAGGAAGGUGCAGGCAACGGUAGGUCUGUAUGCUCCGAAUCUUCUGGGCGACACGCGCGCAACAAUGGUAAGGACAAUAGGAUGCAACUCCGAAAGGAGAAGCCAAACCUCAAACCUUAUCCAAGUCCAGAUCGAGGAUUGUAACCCAUCCUCGUGACGUUGGAAUCCCUAGUAAUCGUGUUUCAACAUAGCACGGUGAAUAUGUCCCUGCUCCUUGCACACACCGCCCGUCAAACCAACCGAGCAGGGUUUAGAUGUGUAUUCGCCUAUUAGCAAAUCCGAAUCUAAGCUCAGUGAGGUGGGUUAAGUCGUCACAAGGUA